UACGUAGGGGGCUAGCGUUGUCCGGAAUCAUUGGGCGUAAAGCGCGUGUAGGCGGUCCGGUAAGUCCGCUGUGAAAGUCGGGGGCUCAACCCUCAGAUGCCGGUGGAUACUGUCGGGCUUGAGUACGGAAGAGGCGAGUGGAAUUCCUGGUGUAGCGGUGAAAUGCGCAGAUAUCAGGAGGAACACCAAUUGCGAAGGCAGCUCGCUGGGACGUUACUGACGCUGAGACGCGAAAGCGUGGGGAGCAAACAGG
rnacentral:rRNA from 1 species